rnacentral:rRNA from 1 species
ACAUGCAAGUCGAACGAGGCCCAUGCAGUGGCAACACUGCGGAAGGCCUAGUGGCGAACGGGUGAGUAACACGUGAGGAACUUGCCCCGGAGACCGGGAUAACUCUCCGAAAGGAGAGCUAAUACCGGAUGUCCUCACCGAAUCGCAUGGUUUGGUGAGGAAAUGGAUUCCGCUCCGGGAGAGCCUCGCGGCCUAUCAGCUAGUUGGUGGGGUAACGGCCCACCAAGGCAUCGACGGGUAGCUGGUCUGAGAGGACGAUCAGCCACACUGGGACUGAGACACGGCCCAGACUCCUACGGGAGGCAGCAGUGGGGAAUCUUGCGCAAUGGGCGAAAGCCUGACGCAGCAACGCCGCGUGCGGGAUGACGGCCUUCGGGUUGUAAACCGCUUUCAGUGGGGACGAACCAAGACGGUACCCACAGAAGAAGCCCCGGCCAACUACGUGCCAGCAGCCGCGGUAACACGUAGGGGGCAAGCGUUGUCCGGAUUUAUUGGGCGUAAAGAGCUCGUAGGUGGUUCGAUAAGUCAGGUGUGAAACCUCCAGGCUCAACCUGGAGACGCCACCCGAUACUGUCGUGACUAGAGUCCAGUAGGGGAGCAUGGAAUUCCUGGUGUAGCGGUGAAAUGCGCAGAUA